rnacentral:snRNA from 1 species
GUGUAAGGAUGACAUGCAAAUUCAUGGAGCAUUUCAUAUUUUU